rnacentral:lncRNA from 1 species
GGGGUGGGGAGGACGGAGGCUGACCCAUGAAUCUGCUUCGGGCUGGAGCUUGCAGCGCAGUGGGGAGUGGCCUGGGGUGAGCUGGAAAAGUGUCCGUCGAAGCCUGGGAUCCAGACACUGCCACCAAAGGAGAAUCGCCUCCGGCCCUGGGAAAGGGUCACCGCAGCCCUGCUGGCAGCAGACAGAGAGCCGGAUACAGGACGCCCAGACCUGGGUCGGGCAGGGUUCCGUUCCGCCUCCAGAGGCUCUGCAGAACCCUCCCGCCCACAAGCCGCCUCUCCUCUGGGCCGGUGCUGUCAAUGAGAGGGGAGAAGCCGUAGAGAAAAUGCUGCAAGGAGCCAUCCGGAGCUUUCUCCUGGCCGUUCUGACUGUUCAAAGGAGCUUUCCAGCUGAGGAGCUGACGUGCGCCUGUGACUUGCAGGAGUGUAACAAUGCCACCUGCUUGGGGAAGGUGUGUUUUGCGAGCA